rnacentral:misc_RNA from 1 species
UCCGUCUUAACGCCGGCGGUCCCUUUAGAGUGCCUAACUAAAUAUUGGCAACUAAAGGCAAGGGUUGCGCUCGUUGCGGGACUUAACCCAACAUCUCACGACACGAGCUGACGACAGCCAUGCAGCACCUGUGUACAGACCCUUGCGGGCGACAAUAUCUCUACUGUCUUCCUGUACAUUUCAAACCCAGGUAAGGUUGUUCGCGUUGCAUCGAAUUGAACCACAUGCUCCACUGCUUGUGCGGGCCCCCGUCAAUUUCUUUGAGUUUUAAUCUUGCGACCGUACUCCCCAGGCGGGAUACUUACCGCGUUUGCUACGACACUGAAGGGGUCAAAACCUCCAACAUCAAGUAUCCAUCGUUUACGGCGUGGACUAC